UUUUUUUUUUUUUUUUUUUGACCCUGACACUGUCCCUGGGCAGAGAAUUACUCUGUCAGUGUCCAGAUGAGAUACUGAGCUUCCAGGAUUUAAAUCUUUGACUUACCUUUGCUCUCAGUGAUAUGAUUAAGCCAAGAUUAUUUAACUCAAGCCCCAAUGAGUCAUUCCAAACACCUUGAAUCAUUCUGAGAGACCUGACAAAUUUUCUGCUGAGUUACUGCCUUGGAGAAUUCUUUGCAUGACUAGUUGAACAUUGGAUGUCUGCAUGCCUUAUGAUUUAUAGCUUAUCAUCAUCUGGGCACAUGUCUGACCCAAUGGGCACACCCGUUUUAUUUCCACAGAGAAGAAAUAUCUUUGGUAUUAAAUGAGUAGGUGCCAAUUGGUGCUAAAGUGUAGGUCAGUGGAGCAGGGCAUAGAGUAUGUUACCAUUUGUGUCUGGGGAAAUAUAUACCUUCCAUUUACAGAAAAAAGGAUAGAUAUAGGUUAAGAUAUGGAUAUGGGCAGAGACAUACAUCUAGGCAGACACAGACAUAGAUACUAACGUAUAGAUACAUAGAAAUUUACCCACAAAAAAUUGGUCGAAGAGGUUACCUCUGGGGAAGAAAAUCAGGUAUCUCGGAGCGAUGAGGAGUAGCUAAGACUUUUCACCACCUAUCCUAUGUAACUUUUGAAUUUUUCUUCAUGUGCUUCUAUUGCCUAUUCACAAAUAAUUUUUAUAUUAAAAAUAAUGAAAGUUAAAUUCAAGCAUUUCAUUGGGGAUGUGGUGACACUUUCCAGUCACCUUAUGGAAAUAUUCAGGGUUGAUCAUAUGAGGGAUUGGUAAUUCCAAGGUGGUUUGGUAACAUUCUGAAUUAUACAAACUUUUAAUUUUGUGAUAUGUCAUCCACAUCCAGUAUGCCCUUGUAUGAAAUCAGUACUCUGUUUUGGUUGUAGGGGACUACGUUUCCCAGGUUUCUUCAGUUUCCAUCUAGAUUUCAAUCUAGGUUCAGCCAAUGGAAGGCAAAGGCCCUAGAAUGAAGGAUGGAAGGAAGAAAGAAACCAGGGUAUUGUUCUCUAUUUUCUGUGUUAUUUCCAGCACCAGUUAUAAGUCUCAGCUCCAGCUAGGAAGCCUCUACUCUGGUUCUAGUUCCUACUGGAUGACCCUGGCUUCUGGACAUUGGUAAUUCCACUUCCUCUUAUUGUCCUUCCAGUGUCAAGGUGGGAACAGCUUCCUACUGUUGCUAAUCUCUGGACUUCCUCUUUGGAUUCCAUGUUUGGCUUCUCAGUCCUUCCAUUUCCUAGGGAAUCAAUUCUCUAUAUUAAAUUUCCUCUGUUGGAAAAGCCUGGAGGGGCUUCUGUUUUUUCUUGUCAGACAGCUUGACUGAUACACCUCACAAGUCCACACUGUCUUUCUUUCUUUUUUCUUUUCAGCUACACCAAUGGUGAGCAGAAGUUCUGGGGCCAGAGAUUGAACCUGCACCACAGCAGCAACCCAAGCCAUACCAGUGACAAUGCCAGACCCUUAAUCCACUGAGUUACCAGGGAACUCCUACAGAUGCACAUUUUCUAUUUCUUGCUUUGCAAUCUCUUACCCUCAGAACUCUUUCAAAUAAUAUAUGAUCUUGGAUUCAGACUGAAGAACUCCCAACUCAAGGAGCGUGCAGUAUUUUACACUCCACCCCUGUAAUUUCACAACCACCAUUUUUUAUCAUUGCCCAAUGCUGUAGAUGGCUUUUUCAAUGACACCACUUGUAGACACACACUUAAGAAUAAUAGCCUCUGCAUUCCUUUCAGAACCAGAACACUUAGGGCAUUAAAUGUGGAAAUCCCUCUGGUCAGACCUUUUAGUCUGACUCUGGCCUAGCUAUGGAAAUUCAGAUUCAGAGCUUCUUCUUGACGGAGAUUUUAGGGAGAAAUGACCAUGUGGUGCUCAAAUACAGAUUCUCCAUUUCUCAGCUGGCUUUUUUUCAAGCUCUUCUUGCAUAAGAAAUCAAAAAUCCCAUUUCCCCUGUUCCUCAGGAAAGACAAUAUUCUUGACCAAACCAGUGGCCUUUAUUUAGAGAUCACCAGCCCAUCUCUUGUCACCACAGGGUUCUCGCGAAAGUUUAGCCCAAGCCUAACUACUCCAGGUGAUUUAUAGGUUCAUGAGAAUUUUCUAACAAAUUAUUGUAAUUCAUCAGAAAUGAUUGGGUUUUCUCAAUUUAUAAGUUAUUCAAAUUCUGUGCUGGCCGGGGCGAGAGCCUUAUCGUUUCUCAUGAUGACAGGCAGUGUCUGACUCAAGGGGUCUGACUUGCACAUGGCUCUCACAUCACUGCCCUUCUGGACUUUGUGGGACCCCGCCCUUCCUCACUGGCCCUGUACCUGAUGCUCCUUUCUUCCACCUGCUGUGCGGCAAGUGUGUUAAUUCCCUUCUUCCCUCACAAUCCGCUCCCCUGAUGCUGAUCCAAUCCUUCGACUCCUAAUCACAUCAAUUUGGAGCAAUCGUGAACUCCUGCACCCCGCCACCUUCAGCCAUAUAAUCCAUCCCCAUCCCUAUCCCUCUACUUUUAGCCUUUGCCACCUCUCCUUUACCGGACCUGUUAAUGCCUCACAUAUGGCCUCAUCUUACCACCCAAAGUCCUAUCCUUCCAACAAAGUGCCCUUGGCCCUGACCAUCCACACUAUCCCUGAUACAGAAGUAAAUAACCCCAGCUAUUAAAUGUCCCAUCUCCAUUCAAUGACCUUGUGAAGAUCCUGGUGUCUAUCCCUCCUAGUCCUAUAACUGCUCCACCCUAAUCUUCACCUCCCUUGUCAAAUCUCCCAAGUUAUCAAUUGUUACCCUUGGCCUGACCUGUCAGAGGUGUAGGAACAUAUUUACUGGGAUGCCAAGAAAGUUUAAACUCCAGGGGUCCUCACACAGCUCCCUUCCCAGGUCUCAUAUCUAAUGCAAUUUUCAUAGUGGUAUAUUCUUCUAACAGCCUUCAGGCCACCACAAAACCUGGCCCUGCCCCUGUUUGGAUGAUCACUCCCUUGAUUAUCUUGGAAUUAGGGGAAUGUUCCCACUCUAUCUGCCUGCUGCUUCUAGGGGAUAAAAAAAGUGCUUCUAGAACCACAAAUUGAACUUUGCAUGCCCUCAACCUUAGACACAGUGUUAAACCUAGUGGUUAGCUUUAAUUAUAUGGCUGGUGCUUUGUUUCAGCUACUUUUUUAGAUUAAACAGGUUUUUGCUGAUUGGCUUUGGAAACCAACCACUGAACAAGUGACUUGUAAACAAACUUCUGGAAUGUAAGCCAUUUCUAAAUUGCAGGCUUUGGGGACUUAACAUUAACAAAAGCCCAUAAACCACGUGUGGAAACCUAUGUAUAAAUACCGACAUUUUGUCACAUGAAAAAAGUUACUCAUUAAAUUCAAUCAAAAGAUGUAGCAAAAUUGGUAAUAUCCAACAAGUCAUGAUGUGUAACUACAGCCAUCAGUCAUCUGUACUUUCUGGGGCAGUUUCCAUUUUAAAUGUUCUGCUCUAUGAUCACCCUGUAUGACUCUCUAGUUCAUCAUUAUGAACUCAGAAACGAGUGUAGUACUUGGUACACAGUAGGCACUCAAGCAAUGCAUGCGAAAUGAAUGAUUGUAAAAUACUGUUUUGCAGACUUGCUUUUGGCUUUAAAACUAUGAUUACUGACUAUAUUUAUAGUGGACGUAUAAAAGCAAGUUAACAUACUUUUUGUGAUUUUUAAGUCUAUAUGUUGACAAUUAUGUAAAUUUAUUUAAUUUGCCAAAUCUCAUUUGCAAAACAAAAUGACUUGGAUUUCAACAGAUGUAAUACAUAUACUAAUGUCUUUAUCCUCAGUGAAAAAAUUCUUUACCAGAUGAUUAUACAGCUCUUCCAGAAUAUUGUGUUUAUUUUCUUAUUCAUGCAGAGGAAUGCUUUUAUAUCAGUUUUGGCAUGUAAAUAGUUUUAUUUUUAAAUAAUCAGUAUAGUUACAGCCUCUAACCUCCCACAUAGUUCAGCAAAAUGCUACAAAUAUGUUACACACUCUCCAAUUUUCAGUCUAAGAACUCAUUAACUUUCAGUGAGACUAUGGAUUCCCUCCAGCAAGUAGAUUAAUAAGGUGAGUAUGAUGAAGAAAAAUUUUUAUGUAAAUUAUCUUAAUCAUUCUAAGAAUUCAAAAGGAUGAAUUAUAAUAGAGUGAUGACCAGGAAUGUCUUUGAUUUCUGGAUUCCUGGACCACAGCAGUAUUACAAAUUGGUUGCAGCUUCUCCACUGCUUCUUACCCCUUCCUUUCUACCACUUCACCCCAACAAGAGAAUUCAAUAGUCAACCACUGGUGUUUGGGGAAUAUAUUUGGGGAAAAGAAACAAGAAGUUGUUUUUUUUUUUUUUUAAUUUUAGGUUGAAAGUAACUUCUCAGUUCUAGGAAAAUUUAUAGCUUUGGAGCUAGUUUGGGGAUAGAAGCAUUCAUUUCUCCAUCAGACUACCAGUCACUAGAACAAAGACAUGUUCCCCUGAUACCAUUGGUCCUUUCCCCCAUCUCACGCCCCCACCAGCCAAGAACACUCCCUAAGAAAUUUCUUUUCCUGUGCUCUUUUAUUCACCACAAGUGAAUUUUCAUCCCAAGACACACAAGAGCACACCAGGAAAUCUCCUGGUCCUGCAUUGCAACACGUGUAUGUGUCCACUUCCUUCCCCGAAUUUUAAAAUAAUCCCUUCCACCUUUAUUCCUCAUCUUUGACCAACAAAGUGAGAGACACAGCCAACUCCCUUCUCCACAGAGCAUGACUCAUGCCUUUCAUGGCUGGGAACUUACCCGGAACAGACACAGAAUGUGAUAGAUCUUACAGAUGAUUUUUUAUAAGUACAUGAGUGGUCUCCACACAAGUUAGGAAAGUUGCUGGAAAUCUGAGGAGGUUUUCAGGAUACCUGAAAGCCAGAGUCCACUUAGCCAUUGUUUGAAGAAAACAAUUUCAGGCAUUUCAAAGGAAGAGAUCUCUCAGACAACUGGCUGUUCCUGCUUCAAACCAGCUCCCAUCCUCCCCACCCACCACCCCAUCAGAGGGCCAUUAGAAUGCUGUUGGAAAUGGUGGUGGUUUUUCAGCAAAUACCAGGUUCUCCCACUUCAAAGAACAGUCAGCAGAGCGGUGAGUUAUUGCUUCUUCCUGGGGAGUUCUCCUUGCCAGAGUGUAAGAGACAUUGCCGUCUUUCCCUCUUCUUCCCAGGCAGAGGGGGAGGAUUUUUUUCAGAACUAGCCCAAAGAGAAUUCCUUGUGCAGAGCACUUAAAGCAAGGUUUCGGAAGCUCUCAGAUCUACUACUUUGUUUUAUGGUUGGAGAGGAGGGAAAGUGGGAAUUGUGGGGGAGUGGCGAAUUCAGUGCUUUUAAAAGACAGAGCACACAUUUUCUCCUCCACAGGAAGGGGGGUGGAGAAGCAGCCUCUUGAUGACCUUGGUGGCUGGGUCCUGGAGGAAGAGGGAGCUGUUCCAUCUAGUUCCAAGUAGAGGACCAUGAAACUCUGCUCACUUACUCCCAGCCAGUCUUUCAUUACCACUCUGUGCUCAUAGAAAAGGAGAACUCAGGAGUUCCCGUUGUGGCGCAGUGGUUAACGAAUCCGACUAGGAACCAUGAGGUUGCGGGUUCGGUCCCUGCCCUUGCUCGGUGGGUUAACAAUCCGGCGUUGCCGUGAGCUGUGGUGUAGGUUGCAGACGCGGCUCGGAUCCCGCGUUGCUGUGGCUCUGGCGUAGGCCAGUGGCUACAGCUCCGAUUCGACCCCUAGCCUGGGAACCUCCAUAUGCCGCGGGAGCGGCCCAAGAAAUAG
rnacentral:lncRNA from 1 species